rnacentral:lncRNA from 1 species
AAAACUGAUUUUUUUUAAAAAAAAAUCAAAAUAGGCAAUUUAUUUCCUCUGCAGGGCAAUUGGCCUCAUCCUAUUAUGGGUUGUAUUGUAAUGGUACUGGCUUUCCUUCAACCAGUGAUUGCUCUCUUCCGACCUCCACCUCAACAUAAAAGUUGUUACUAUACUUCUAGGAUUGAAGAGUAUUGAUGCAUCUCCUAAUGAAUGGAUAGGAAAAGUGAUGGGAGGACUAAUUGGCUGGGAAAUAUUAAGAGAUGUGCUGUUCUAUGCAAAUAUUUAUUUUUGGAGGAAAGAUGGUGAAGAAAACCCAAAAGGAAAGAUAAAAAAUGAAAAAAUACUGGUAAUAGUUUCCCUGUGUGGAAACCUCAUAUUUGUGAUAACCCUGCUUGUUGGAAUUGGACGAUCCUAGAGAAAGGACCUUCACCCAUUUUUUAUUAAAUGAAGAUUCUGAGAAUCAUUGUCAUGUUGACGACAUUUCCUACCUAAUAAAAACUAGGAAAAUAAACA